rnacentral:rRNA from 1 species
ACCUUCGGGUUGAGUGGCGGACGGGUGAGUAACGCGUGAGAAUCUGCCUUGGGGUCGGGGACAACCACUGGAAACGGUGGCUAAUACCGGAUAAGCCUUUGGGUAAAAGAUUUAUUGCCCCAAGAGGAGCUCGCGUCUGAUUAGCUAGUUGGUGAGGUAAGAGCUCACCAAGGCAGCGAUCAGUAGCUGGUCUGAGAGGACGAUCAGCCACACUGGGACUGAGACACGGCCCAGACUCCUACGGGAGGCAGCAGUGGGGAAUUUUCCGCAAUGGGCGAAAGCCUGACGGAGCAAGACCGCGUGAGGGAGGAAGGCUCUUGGGUUGUAAACCUCUUUUCUCAGGGAAGAAGCUCUGACGGUACCUGAGGAAUCAGCCUCGGCUAACUCCGUGCCAGCAGCCGCGGUAAUACGGAGGAGGCAAGCGUUAUCCGGAAUUAUUGGGCGUAAAGCGUCCGCAGGUGGCGAUUCAAGUCUGCUGUCAAAGCACGGGGCUUAACUCCGUUAAGGCAGUGGAAACUGAAUAGCUAGAGUGCCGUAGGGGUAGAGGGAAUUCCCGGUGUAGCGGUGAAAUGCGUAGAGAUCGGGAAGAACAUCGGUGGCGAAAGCGCUCUACUGGACGGCAACUGACACUCAGGGACGAAAGCUAGGGGAGCGAAUGGGAUUAGAUACCCCAGUAGUCCUAGCUGUAAACGAUGGAUACUAGGUGUAGCUUGUAUCGACCCGAGCUGUGCCGAAGCUAACGCGUUAAGUAUCCCGCCUGGGGAGUACGCACGCAAGUGUGAA